UACGUAGGGUGCAAGCGUUGUCCGGAAUUAUUGGGCGUAAAGAGCUCGUAGGCGGUUUGUCGCGUCUGCUGUGAAAACUCAGGGCUUAACCCUGAGCCUGCAGUGGGUACGGGCAGACUAGAGUGUGGUAGGGGAGAUCGGAAUUCCUGGUGUAGCGGUGGAAUGCGCAGAUAUCAGGAGGAACACCGGUGGCGAAGGCGGAUCUCUGGGCCAUAACUGACGCUGGAGGAGCGAAAGCAUGGGGAGCGAACAGGA
rnacentral:rRNA from 1 species